GCAGCCGCGGUAAUACGUAGGGUGCAAGCGUUAWUCGGAAUUWCUGGGCGUAAAGCGUGCGCAGGCGGUUUUGUAAGACAGGCGUGAAAUCCCCGGGCUCAACCUGGGAAUUGCGCUUGWGACUGCAAGGCUAGAGUACGGUAGAGGGGGGUAGAAUUCCGCGUGUAGCAGUGAAAUGCGUAGAUAUGCGGAGGAACACCGAUGGCGAAGGCAGCCCUCUGGACCUGUACUGACGCUCAUGCACGAAAGCGUGGGGAGCAAACAGGAUUAGAUACCCUGGUAGUCCACGCCCUAAACGAUGUCAACUGGUUGUUGGGAAUUUACUUUCUCAGUAACGAAGCUAACGCGUGAAGUUGACCGCCUGGGGAGUACGGCCGCAAGGUUGAAACUCAAAGGAUUGACGGA
rnacentral:rRNA from 1 species